GAUGAACGCUGGCGGCGUGCCUAAUACAUGCAAGUCGAGCGAACGGACGAGAAGCUUGCUUCUCUGAUGUUAGCGGCGGACGGGUGAGUAACACGUGGAUAACCUACUUAUAAGACUGGGAUAACUUCGGGAAACCGGAGCUAAUACUGGAUAAUAUUUUGAACCGCAUGGUUCAAAAGUGAAAGACGGUCUUGCUGUCACUUAUAGAUGGAUCCGCGCUGCAUUAGCUAGUUGGUAAGGUAACGGCUUACCAAGGCGACGAUGCAUAGCCGACCUGAGAGGGUGAUCGGCCACACUGGAACUGAGACACGGUCCAGACUCCUACGGGAGGCAGCAGUAGGGAAUCUUCCGCAAAGGGCGAAAGCCUGACGGAGCAACGCCGCGUGAGUGAUGAAGGUCUUCGGAUCGUAAAACUCUGUUAUUAGGGAAGAACAUAUGUGUAAGUAACUGUGCACAUCUUGACGGUACCUAAUCAGAAAGCCACGGCUAACUACGUG
rnacentral:rRNA from 1 species